CCUACGGGGUGCAGCAGUGAGGAAUAUUGGUCAAUGGACGAGAGUCUGAACCAGCCAAGUAGCGUGAAGGAUGACUGCCCUAUGGGUUGUAAACUUCUUUUAUAUGGGAAUAAAAUGUUCCACGUGUGGGAUUUUGUAUGUACCAUAUGAAUAAGGAUCGGCUAACUCCGUGCCAGCAGCCGCGGUAAUACGGAGGAUCCGAGCGUUAUCCGGAUUUAUUGGGUUUAAAGGGAGCGUAGGUGGAUUGUUAAGUCAGUUGUGAAAGUUUGCGGCUCAACCGUAAAAUUGCAGUUGAAACUGGCAGUCUUGAGUACAGUAGAGGUGGGCGGAAUUCGUGGUGUAGCGGUGAAAUGCUUAGAUAUCACGAAGAACUCCGAUUGCGAAGGCAGUUCACUGGACUGCAACUGACACUGAGGCUCGAAAGUGUGGGUAUCAAACAGGAUUAGAUACCCGGGUA
rnacentral:rRNA from 1 species